rfam:Oryza nivara chromosome 3, whole genome shotgun sequence.
AAUAAGUGCAGCCAUGGUUUUUCGCGUCCAAUUUUAAUCGUCCGUUUUAUUUGAAAUUUUUUUAUAAUUAGCAUUUUUAUUGCUAUGAGAUGAUAAAACAUGAAUAGUACUUUACUCGUGACUUAUGUUUUUAAUUUUUUUAAAAAAAUUUUUAAAUAAGACGGACGGUCAAAGUUGGACGCGGAAAAAUAUGGCUGAACUUAUU